CACUGAUUGAUCACACCUAAGAGUCCUUCUUGCCUAAGCUUGAACUGGUCAAAGGGUUUGACAUAUCAAAGACUUAAUGUAAUAGAACUCUAACAUGAAGGAGUUCACGAUAAUUACAAAAGAAAUCAAAUCUCACACCCAAGAGAGAGAGCUUGCCCCCUUUUGUCUUACACCCCACCUUCUUAUUCUUCAUAUGGAAUUGUUUCACGCC
rnacentral:lncRNA from 1 species